AUGACAGGUCAGCUGUGCCUGGCGGACUCCACUGAGGCUUGGCAGUCUUGCCAGGGACUCAGGCCUACUGCAGCUCUUGGUGUCCGAGAGGAGGGCUGGGGUCUUGCUUCCUUAGGUCUGUGGUGGUACAUGUGGAAUAUGAUCCCCGGAGAAAGCCGCACUCCCAAGCGCCCUCCUCCAUCACCAGAGAUGCCCCAGGCACUGGGCCCCCCGAGUUUGGGCCUGGGCACCGUUCUCCCUCAGCUCCCAGCCUGCCCCCUCCAGGCACCUCCGAGAUGUGGCCUUCCUACUUGCAGCUCUCUACCAGCACUGCCGUGUCCCUCUCCUGUCCUAACCGUGCUCUGUUCCGUCAGCCACUCUGCCUCAUGCCCUUUGUUUCUUCAUGCUCUACCUCCCCAUUAUGCCCCGUUGUUACACCGCAGAUCCUUUCCGAACGUCACCUGGUUUCUCCUAAAAAUCCUCUCCAUGCAUUGCCGCUCUCCCUCACCUUCUCACUCUUUACUUCUGUUUUGCAAACUUGGCCCUCAUCCCACCGCGUGGAAAUAGUCUAGGAGAAGUCACCAGGGACCACGUAGUUACUGAAUUCAGAAGUCUUUUCUCAAUCUUCCAUCUUCGUGUCCACACUCAGUGACCAGAGUAUUUGAUAUGGUUGCCCUUAUUUUCCCCAUUUUCUGAGAUUUCCCUCCCAAAUGUUCUUCAUUCCUUUCUCUUCUUUUACUGGAAGGCCAGUCCUUGAGACCCUUUUCUUUCUUGACAGGUGGUUCUCAAACUUUGGACUAGCCAUGGAACUCAGUGGUGGGGAGGGCAGCUUUUACUAAAAAUUGCGAUUACUAGGCACAGCCCCCAGAGCUGUUUAUUCAGUGGCCCUGGAGUAAAGCAUGGAAAUCGGAACAUUCAGCCAACUCCCUGGGUGUUUCCCAUGCAGGCUCUCAGGGGACCACAUGGUGAGAUAGUGUACUCUCCCUUGGGGCUCUCUAACCCUGGCUUUCCUCCCCCGUAACUUCCCUAGCUCCCUGUGUCCCCACUGGGCAGUGCAGGAGUGUGUUUCUAGCUCAGCUGGAAGCCCUGUGACGUCCUCAGACUCCCUCCCCAGGCCCACCCCCUGCAUCUGUCCCUUGCUCUCCGUCCCCACCCUGCCACAAAGUCCCCCCCUUGUCCUUGUCCUGCCAGCGCCCACCAGUCAUGCUGUCAGGGCCUCCCGGGGGCAGCAGCCGCUGACCAGUCAGCCCACCCCUCCCUCCCAGACUCCACAGUGCUCCCAGAUUUAUCUUCCAGAACCACAUUGCUGGUCACACCCGUAUCUCUGUUCAGUGAUCUUCAGUGCCUCGCGACCAGAGCAGCAAGCCCAGCCCUCCCGAGUGUCGUAUCUGUGCCGUCCACCCCGUGGCCACGCGUGACUGCCCACUUUGAGUAGCCCUUCUAUGGACGCGCACUGCAGCCCACACAUUCCCGCAGUUACCCGUGGGCUCCUGCCUCUGCGUGCACGUCUUUCCUCUGCUAGAGAUGCCCUUUCUCCCAAGUGGCUUCCCCCUCGAAGGCCCCGCCUGCGUCUCCUUUGUACCCUUGUCCAUGCUUCUGACCAGAAGCAACCCCAUGGCGCUCUGUGACCCACAGCACUUGUGUCUGGCUUUCGGCACUCGCCGUGCCGGCUGGUGUCACCGCUGCUGAUUGUGUACCGUGUCUCACCUCCCUUUCUAGACUGUGAGCUCCUCGCGGGCAGGGACCGUCUGUGUUCACUCUUUGUAUUUCCCCUGGCACCUAGCACAGUGCUUCGCACUUAGUAGGUGCUCAAUAAACGUCUGCUCAAUGGACCUGGACGACAGUGCCUUCUUGACCGCGGUAUCUGGCAGCCAAUAACACGGGAAAUCACGCCGUCGGCAUUUGCACCAGGGAAUCCCUCUGCUGCGGCGGACUGCAGGUGGGGUGUCUGUCCGGCUCUCCCUUCUCUCCAAGGCUCCCAACACAGUGUGCGGUCCAGGGGUGGGCACCGGACAGGCUGAGCUAAGCCCCGUGUGCCCACUUCCUGCGGAGCAGGACCGCGAGAUUCCUGGGCAGGAGUGCCAGGCUGCUGUUGGGGUAGUCAAUGGCCCCCUUCUGCCGAUGUGGAGAAACGCACUUCCCUUUUGCUUAAGCCAGUUCAAGUUGGGCUUACGACCCUGGAAAUCAAGAGUCUUGAGUAAAAUGGGUGUCACAGCCCCUAGAUUCAGCAGACAAAAUGGGAGAGGCUCAUCAUAUCUUUAGAAAGAUCCCAAAGACUGGUACAAACAGAACUUAGAGGAGUGUUUGCUCCCAUCAGAAAAUGGCGGUCAGAGGCUGACAAUUUCUGAUUUAUUGGAAACUUUCCCUCCCACCUCAAGGAGAGCUCUGUCCCCACCUGCAAGCAGUCUGUUUCCUGCUGCUGCUUUUCCUUCUCAACAGCCCCACUUCCUCUCGAGGCUGUCUGAAACAUUCCCUGAUGUGAAUUUCUCCGUUCAGUUCCCCAGCUGGGCAGACACCAGGCCUCUCUGUCCGGAGUCAGACCUUCCCCUGUCCUUCCAUGUGCUCAUCUGUAAACCAGGCGUAAGGGAAUCACACAUCCUACUUCAGGGGCAUCAUACAGAAUAGGUGUGUCAUACCCACGGAGCGUCCACGACGGUGUCUGACACUGGGCCCCACUCAGUGACAUUCAGAGCCAUUGCUGGGGCUCUGAUCAGCAGCAACCCCUCUAGGACACCCACACUGUUUACACUCUCACGGUUCACCCCACAUCUCCUAACCAAA
ensembl:lncRNA